GACGAACGCUGGCGGCGUGCUUAACACAUGCAAGUCGAACGGUAAGGCCCUUUCGGGGGUACACGAGUGGCGCACGGGUGAGUAACACGUGGGUGAUCUGCCCUGCACUUUGGGAUAAGCCUGGGAAACUGGGUCUAAUACCGGAUAGGACUACGCGAUGCAUGUCGUGUGGUGGAAAGCUUUUGCGGUGUGGGAUGGGCCCGCGGCCUAUCAGCUUGUUGGUGGGGUGAUGGCCUACCAAGGCGACGACGGGUAGCCGGCCUGAGAGGGUGUCCGGCCACACUGGGACUGAGAUACGGCCCAGACUCCUACGGGAGGCAGCAGUGGGGAAUAUUGCACAAUGGGCGCAAGCCUGAUGCAGCGACGCCGCGUGGGGGAUGACGGCCUUCGGGUUGUAAACCCCUUUCAGCACAGACGAAGCGUAAGUGACGGUAUGUGCAGAAAAAGCACCGGCCAACUACGUG
rnacentral:rRNA from 1 species